rnacentral:tRNA from 1 species
UAUAUUUUAGUAUAAGAUGUACAGAAAUUUUUGAUAUUUCAGGGAAUAGUUUAAUUCUAUUAAAUAUAA